AACGCGAAGAACCUUACCUGGACUAGAAUGCGAGGGAAUGUUGGGUAACGCCAACAGCCGGUUUACCGGCCCGAAGCAAGGUGCUGCAUGGCUGUCGUCAGCUCGUGUCGUGAGAUGUUGGGUUAAGUCCCGCAACGAGCGCAACCCUUAUCAACAGUUGCCAUCAUUAAGUUGGGAACUCUGUUGAGACUGCCGUUGAUAAAACGGAGGAAGGUGGGGAUGAUGUCAAGUCAUCAUGGCCUUUAUGUUCAGGGCUACACACGUGCUACAAUGGACGGUACAGAACGUUGCUAUCCCGCGAGGGGGAGCUAAUCGCGAAAACCGUUCUCAGUUCGGAUUGGAGUCUGCAACUCGACUCCAUGAAGUUGGAAUCGCUACGUAAUCGCAAAUCAUCAUGUUGCGGUGAAUACUUUCCCGGGUCUUGUACACACCG
rnacentral:rRNA from 1 species